rnacentral:rRNA from 1 species
GACGAACGCUGGCGGCGUGCUUAACACAUGCAAGUCGAACGGAAAGGCCCUGCUUUUGUGGGGUGCUCGAGUGGCGAACGGGUGAGUAACACGUGAGUAACCUGCCCUUGACUUUGGGAUAACUUCAGGAAACUGGGGCUAAUACCGGAUAGGAGCUCCUGCUGCAUGGUGGGGGUUGGAAAGUUUCGGCGGUUGGGGCUGGACUCGCGGCUUAUCAGCUUGUUGGUGGGGUAGUGGCUUACCAAGGCUUUGACGGGUAGCCGGCCUGAGAGGGUGACCGGCCACAUUGGGACUGAGAUACGGCCCAGACUCCUACGGGAGGCAGCAGUGGGGAAUAUUGCACAAUGGGCGGAAGACUGAUGCAGCAACGCCGCGUGCGGGAUGACGGACUUCGGGUUGUAAACCGCUUUCGCCUGUGACGAAGCGUGAGUGACGGUAAUGGGUAAAGAAGCACCGGAUAACUACGUG